GACGAACGCUGGCGGCGUGCCUAAUACAUGCAAGUCGAACGAACGGACCCGGCGCUUGCUUCGCUGUCGUUUGCCGCGGACGGGUGAGACACAUGUGGAUAAUCUUCCUGUAUGACUGAUAUAUUCUCGGGAAACCGGCGCAUAUCCGGGAGGAUCUUUUGCUCCGCAUGGUGGAUAAGAAAGAGUCGGUGUUGCGGUAUCUUCUCGCUGGUUACGCGCUGGAUUAGCUAGUUGGUAAGGUAAAGGGUUAUGAAGGCAAGGAUGCCUAGCCGACUGAAGGGGGUGAUCGGCCACAUUGGAACUGGGACACGGUCCAGGCUCCUACGGGAGGCAGCAGUAGGGAACCUUCGGCAACAGGCGGAAGCCUGACGGAGCAACGCCGAGUGAGUGAUGAAGGUCUUCGGAGCGUAAAACCCUGUUAUUAGGGAAGAACAUAUGUGGAAGUAACUGUGCACAUCUUGACGGUACCUAAUCAGAAAGCCACGGCUAACUACGUG
rnacentral:rRNA from 1 species